rnacentral:tRNA from 1 species
GGUGGGUUGGCUCAGUGGUUAGAGUUUAGGUCUGGUGACCGUAAGGUCCCGGGAUCGAAUCUCGCAGAGGCAG